GGAGGUGAAAGGGGAGAUCUUUCUGGCUAAUCCCAAACUCGAGACACCGCUGAUCCCUGAAAGUGAAGCUGUUGUUUUCUUCAAUUUGCAAUUCAACAUUCACGUGAUUUGUGGUGUGGAAGACAACACUUGUGGAGGACACACACACACACACACACACACACACACACACACCUCCAAGCUGAGCAGCAACAUGACAUCAUCCUGAGGUGAACUUUUUGAAAAUUUUAAGGAUUUUAAGUGCAAUCCUUCAAUCAUGAAUAACACAUUCGGUGAAAUUCACAUCUUAUUUACACGAAACAUCCAAACUAAACAUUCAAUUGUCCCCCAAAAAAAUAUUAAGUUACUUUUGGAAAUUGUCUAAUAAAAUAAGCAUGACAACAAACAAUAAGUCCUGAUAGUUUGUAAAAAAAUAAAUAAAUAAAUAAAUAAAUAAAAGUCAUGCGAAUAAAGUCAAAGUAGCUGUUGUUGAUCCUGUAGUUGGCAAUAAAGUCCUUUUGGAAGCAUGUCGUGUAAUAACAAACCAAGUGGCUUUGCAAUACCACUUGUACACGUCAAUCACACACACACACACACACACACACACACACACACACACACACACACACACACACGAAACCAAAUUGACAGUACGGACCACAAAAACGCGUACUUUUCUUCUUAGUUCCUUACCGUGUGUGGUCCUUAAACUUGGAGUAGAGAAAGAAGCAAGAACAAAUAAAAGUCCGAGAAGGUGAGGAAGCAAAAAAAAGGCGACUUGACGCUCGAAGGUGAGAAGCCGUGCUCAGGGGAGGCCACGCCCAUCUCGUCAAACCACGCCCAUCCGCAUGAUUGACAGCCCAACGCCUCUUAACAAAGAGAUACAUAAUAGACAAAAAGGUCCAAACGUUGCACAACUUGGACAUUUACUUAUACUUUGACAUUUACGUCAGCCUUCAGUUUAAUCGACUCACUCUGACUGGGCUCCCCUUUAAACCAGCAAAUCACACACGUUUACCAAAACGUGUCUCAUUGUCAAUAUCACGAUUAUGUAAUCAUUACGUCUGCAUUGUUAAUUGCACAAUCAUUAAUAAUAAAUACAAACGAUCCAACAAGUUGUACAGCGCGGAACUAAAAUGUCACCCUCUAGUGGAAAGAAAACGCUACUGCGUGAGAAAAGAAAUACAUGACAGUCCGCCGAGUUUAGCCAUAGACAUGUUCGAAGUAAACACAGCAUUGGCUGCUGUGACGCGAGAAAUUGGGCCGCCAUCUUGAAGUGGUGAUGAGGAGCCGGCGAGCAGCCUCUUGGCACAUGUCUGUAAGUUUAGAGCAGCGGUCACCAAGCUUUUUGAAAGCAAGAGCUACUUCGUGGGUACUGAUUCAUGCGAAGGGCUACCAGUUUGAUACACACUUAAAUAAAUUGCCCGAAAUAGCCAAUUUGCUCAAUUUACCUUUAAUAAAUAAAUCUAUACAUAUAUAUAUAUUAAAAAAAUGGGUAUUUAUGUCCGUCAUUCCGUCGUACAUUUUUUUUCCUUUUACGGAAGUUUUUUUUUAGAGAAUAAAUGAUGAAAAAAACACUUAAUUGAACGGUUUAAAAGAGGAGAAAACAGGAAAACAAUUCUAAUUUAAAUUUUGACUCUAAGUUUGAUUCUACAGAUUUUCUAGAUUUGACGGAAUAUUUUUUUUUAAUUUUAAUCAUAAGUUUGAGGAAAUAUUUCUCAAAUAUCCUUCGUUGAAAAAGCAGAAGCUAAAAUGAAGAAUGAAAUUAAAAUUUAUUUAUUAUUCUUUACAAUAAAAAAAAUACUUGAACAUUGAUUUAAAUUGUCAGGAAAGAAGAGGAAGGAAUUUAAAAGGUUAAAAGGUAUAUGUGUUUAAAAAUCCUAAAAUCAUUUUUAAGGUUGUAUUUUUUCUCUAAAAUUGUCUUUCUGAAAGUUAUAAGAAGCAAAGUUAAGAAAA